GAUGAACGCUGGCGGCGUGCCUAAUACAUGCAAGUCGAGCGAACAGACGAGGAGCUUGCUCCUCUGACGUUAGCGGCGGACGGGUGAGUAACACGUGGAUAACCUACCUAUAAGACUGGGAUAACUUCGGGAAACCGGAGCUAAUACCGGAUAAUAUUUUGAACCGCAUGGUUCAAUAGUGAAAGACGGUUUUGCUGUCACUUAUAGAUGGAUCCGCGCUGCAUUAGCUAGUUGGUAAGGUAACGGCUUACCAAGGCAACGAUGCGUAGCCGACCUGAGAGGGUGAUCGGCCACACUGGAACUGAGACACGGUCCAGACUCCUACGGGAGGCAGCAGUAGGGAAUCUUCCGCAAUGGGCGAAAGCCUGACGGAGCAACGCCGCGUGAGUGAUGAAGGUCUUCGGAUCGUAAAACUCUGUUAUUAGAGAAGAACAAAUGUGUAAGUAACUAUGCGCGUCUUGACGGUACCUAAUCAGAAAGCCACGGCUAACUACGUG
rnacentral:rRNA from 1 species